rnacentral:rRNA from 1 species
UACGGAGGGGGUUAGCGUUGUUCGGAAUUACUGGGCGUAAAGCGCGCGUAGGCGGAUUAGAAAGUUGGGGGUGAAAUCCCGGGGCUCAACCUCGGAACUGCCUCCAAAACUAUCAGUCUAGAGUUCGAGAGAGGUGAGUGGAAUUCCGAGUGUAGAGGUGAAAUUCGUAGAUAUUCGGAGGAACACCAGUGGCGAAGGCGGCUCACUGGCUCGAUACUGACGCUGAGGUGCGAAAGCGUGGGGAGCAAACAGG